UGCGUAGGCGGAUCAGUAAGUCAGUGGUGAAAUCUCUCGGCUCAACCGGGAAACUGCCAUUGAUACUGUUGAUCUUGAGUUCGGUAGAGGUAGGCGGAAUGUGUAAUGUAGCGGUGAAAUGCUUAGAUAUUACACAGAACACCGAUUGCGUAGGCAGCUUACUAGACCGACACUGACGCUGAGGCACGAAAGCGUGGGUAGCGAACAGGAUUAGAUACCCUGGUAGUCC
rnacentral:rRNA from 1 species